rnacentral:rRNA from 1 species
CCAGACUCCUACGGGAGGCAGCAGUGGGGAAUUUUGGACAAUGGGCGCAAGCCUGAUCCAGCCAUGCCGCGUGUCUGAAGAAGGCCUUCGGGUUGUAAAGGACUUUUGUUAGGGAAGAAAAGGAUAGUGUUAAUACCAUUAUCUGCUGACGGUACCUAAAGAAUAAGCACCGGCUAACUACGUGCCAGCAGCCGCGGUAAUACGUAGGGUGCGAGCGUUAAUCGGAAUUACUGGGCGUAAAGCGAGCGCAGACGGUUUAUUAAGCAAGAUGUGAAAUCCCCGAGCUUAACUUGGGAACUGCGUUUUGAACUGAUAAGCUAGAGUAUGUCAGAGGGGGGUAGAAUUCCACGUGUAGCAGUGAAAUGCGUAGAGAUGUGGAGGAAUACCGAUGGCGAAGGCAGCCCCCUGGGAUAAUACUGACGUUCAUGCUCGAAAGCGUGGGUAGCAAACAGGAUUAGAUACCCUGGUAGUCCACGCCCUAAACGAUGUCAAUUAGCUGUUGGGCAGCUUGACUGCUUAGUAGCGAAGCUAACGCGUGAAAUCGACCGCCUGGGGAGUACGGUCGCAAGAUUAAAACUCAAAGGAAUUGACGGGGGCCCGCAAAG